rnacentral:sRNA from 1 species
GGAUGUGAGGGUGGUCUGGCUGUGACAUCUGUCACCCCAUUGAUCGCCAGGGUUGAUUCAGCUGAUCUUGCUGGCUAGGUGGGUUAUCCCCUUCCUCCCUCAACACUCCACGUGUCCCUCCCAAAGCUGCACAAGAGGUCCACCUUCCCUGAUAGAGGAGGACCGGUCUUUGUUCAAGGGUUGUGGCCUGAAUUCUCUCUGGGUCUCCUGCAUGAUUAGACAAACCAUAUAAUAUUCUUUUAUGUGUAUUUAUUAACUUACAGAGGAAG